rnacentral:rRNA from 1 species
AGAGCGAACGCUGGCGGCAGGCUUAACACAUGCAAGUCGAGCGCCCCGCAAGGGGAGCGGCAGACGGGUGAGUAACACGUGGGAACGUGCCUUUUGGUUCGGAACAACCCAGGGAAACUUGGGCUAAUACCGGAUAAGCCCUUACGGGGAAAGAUUUAUCGCCAAAAGAUCGGCCCGCGUCUGAUUAGCUAGUUGGUGGGGUAAUGGCCCACCAAGGCUACGAUCAGUAGCUGGUCUGAGAGGAUGAUCAGCCACAUUGGGACUGAGACACGGCCCAAACUCCUACGGGAGGCAGCAGUGGGGAAUAUUGGACAAUGGGGGCAACCCUGAUCCAGCCAUGCCGCGUGAGUGAUGAAGGCCUUAGGGUUGUAAAGCUCUUUUAGCAGGGAAGAUAGUGACGGUACCUGCAGAAAACGCCCGGCUAACUUCGCGCCAGCAGCCGC